rnacentral:rRNA from 1 species
UACGUAGGCAGCGAGCGUUGUUCGGAGUUACUGGGCGUAAAGGGUGUGUAGGCGGUCCUUUAAGUUUGGUGUGAAAUCUCCCGGCUCAACUGGGAGGGUGCGCCGGAUACUGAGGGGCUAGAGUGCGGGAGAGGAGAGUGGAAUUCCUGGUGUAGCGGUGAAAUGCGUAGAUAUCAGGAGGAACACCGGUGGUGUAAACGGCUCUCUGGACCGCAACUGACGCUGAGACACGAAAGCGUGGGUAGCAAACAGG